GCCGCCGUAGCUCAGCUGGGAGAGCGCCCGGCUGAAGACCGGGAUGCCCGGGGUUCAAGUCCCCGCGGCGGCA
rfam:Thermosphaera aggregans DSM 11486, complete genome.